rnacentral:snRNA from 1 species
GUGGUCAAAACAGCAUGGCAGCACUAUAAUAAAGUUGGAAUGAUACAGAGAAAAUUAGCAUGACCCCUGCACAAGGAUGACAUGCAAAUUCAUGAAGUGGUCCAUAUUUAA